rnacentral:rRNA from 1 species
CCUAGAAUCAAUCUAAGGUGUAACCUGCUCAAUGGUUUUUAAAAAAUAGACAUAAACAUCUAAAAUUAAACUUAAAAGACGCAGUAAUCUGACUGUGAUAAUGUAGCACAAUCACUUGCCAUUUAAUUGAUGGAUAGUAUGAAUGGUUGAACGAAUUCUUCACUGUCUCAAAAAGAGAAGUCAUGAAAUUAAAAUAAUAGUUAAGAUGCUAUUUAAAAUUGUAAGACGAAAAGACCCUAUAGAGCUUAACUAGAUUUUCUUUAAAAGAGAUUUUUCAAAAAGAAAAAGAUAGUUUAGUUGGGGCGACUGUUUUCUAAGAAAAACGAAAACGAGCAAAUAUAAAUAAUUUAUUUAUUGUAUAAUUAAUAAAUUUAACAAUUACAAAAGUAGGCUAUAAUGACCCGUUAUAACUAAAUGAAAAGUUUAACGAUUAACAAAUAAAAGCUACCUUAGGGAUAACAGGAUAAUUUUGUUUUAGAGAUCAUAUCAAAAACGAAGUUUGUCACCUCUAUGUUGAAUUAGGAUAUCCUAAUGGUGCAGAAACUAUUAAAGGUAAGUCUGUUCGACUUUUAAAAU